rnacentral:lncRNA from 1 species
UUUUAUAUGCUAACAACAAAUUUCAGAAAGAGAAAUUAGGGAAAUAAUCCCAUUUACCAUCACAUCAAAAAGAAUAAAAUGCUUAGGAAUAAACCUACCUAAAGAGACAAGAGAUGUGUACUCCAAAACCUAUAAGACACUGAUGAAAGAAAUCAAAGAUAACACAAACAGAUGGAAAGACAUACCAUGCUCUUGGAUUGGAAGAAUGAAUAUUAUCCAAAUGAUGAUAAUACCCAGGGCAAUCUAUAGAUUCAAUGCAAUCCCUAUCAAAUUACCAAGGACAUUUUUCACAGAACUAGAACAAAAUAUUUUAAAGUUUGUUUGGAAGCACAAAAGACCCAUAAUAGUCAAAGCCAACCUUAGAAAGAAAAAUAGAGCUGGAGGAAUCAGGCUCCCUGACUUCAGACUAUACUGCAAAGCUACAGUCAUCAAAACCAUAUGAUACUGGCACAAAAACAGAAAACAGAAAUAUAGAGCAGUGGAACAGGGCAGAAAGCCCAGAAUUAAACCCACACACCUACAGUCUACUAACCUAUGACAAAGGAGGUAAUAAUAUACAAUGGAGAAAAGACAGUCCCUUCAAUAAGUGGUGCUGGGAAAACUGGACAGCUACAUGUAAAAGAAUGAAAUUAGAACACUUCCUAAUACCAUACAAAAAAAUAAACUCAAAAUGGAUUAGAGACCUAAAUAUAAGACCAGAUACUAUAAAACACUUAGAAGAAAACAUAAGCUGAACACUCUGACAUAAACCACAUCAGUAUCUUCUCAAAUCCAUCUCCUAGAAUAAUGGCAAUUAAAACAAAAUUAAACAAAUUGGACCUAAUUAAACUGAAAAGUUUUUGCACAGCAAAGUAAACCCUCAACAAAGUGAAAAGACAAUCCACAGAAUGGGAGGAAAUAUUUGCAAAUGAAGUGACUGACAAGGAAUUAAUCUCCAAAAUUUAUAAACACCACCUGCAGCUCAAUACCAAAAAAAUACGAACAACCCUAUCAAAAAAUGGGCAGAAAAUCUAAACAGACAAUUCUCCAAAACAGAUGGCCGAAAAACACAUGAAAAGUUGUUCAACGUCCCUAAUUAUUACAGAAAUGAAAAUCAAAACUACUAUGAGGUACCACCUUACACCAGCCAGAAGUGGUCAUAAUCAAAAAGUCUAUAAACAAUAAAUUCUGGAGAGGGUGAGGAGAAAAGGGAACCCUUUUACACUGUUGGUGGGAAUAUAAAUUGGUGCAGCCACUAUGGAAAACAGUAUGGAGAUUCCUCAAAAAACUAAAAAUAGAAUUAUAAUUUGAUCCAGCAAUCCCAUUCCUGGGCAUCUCUCCAGAGAAAACCAUGACUGGAAAAGAUAUAUGUACUCCAGUGUUCAUUGCAGCACUAUAUGCAAUAGCCAAGACAUGGACGCAACCUAAAUGUCCAUCGACAGAGGAGUGGCUAAAGAAGAUGUGGUACAUAUACACAAUGGAAUAUUACUCAGUCAUAAAAAGGAAAGAAAUAAUGGCAUUUGCAGCAACAUGGGUGGAUAUAGAAAUUAUCAUGCUAAGUGAAGUUAGACAGUGAGACACCAACAUCACAUGCUAUCACUUAUAUGUGGAAUCUAAAAAAAGGAUACAAUGAACUUCUUUGCAGAACAGAUACUGACUCACAGACUUUGAAAAACUUAUGGUUUCCAAAGGAGACAGGUUGGAGUGGGGAGGAUGUGCUGGGGAUUUGGGAUGGAAAUUCUGUAAAAUUUGGUUGUGAUUAUCAUUGUACAAUUAUAAUAAAAUUCAUUGAGUUAAAAAAUAUUUCACCAAGAUUGUAGUAAAUAUCAAUAUUGCAUUUUUUUCUUCAUGGCUUAAUAGUAUUCCAUUGUAGGAACAUACUAUAUCUUGUUUAUUACUCAUCAGUUGAUGACAUUUGGAUUGUUUCUAUAUUUGGCAUUAUGAAUAAUACUUCUGUGAAUAUCUGUGAAUAAGGUUAUGUGCAGACAUGUGUUUUCAUUUCUCUUAGAUAUGACUCUAAGAGUAGAUUUGCUUCAUCAUAUGACAAUUCAAUGUUUAACCUUUUCCUCAGUUUGGGGAAAUUUUCAGCCAUUAUUAUUUCAUAUAUUACUUCUGCCUCUUUUUCCUCUCUCUUUUUCUCUGCAACUUCCAAAAUGCAUAUGUAAAAAUAAUUUGGGUUUCGUUAAAAUAAAAAAUGUUUGUGGAGUUCCUCUUGUGGCUCAGCAGGUGCUGCAGACUCACAGCUCUUACCAAGGUUUAAUGGGUUGUCUUGAAUGAACAUUUCUUUACUUGCUGUGUGACGUUGGUACAAUCAUGGAGUUUUUAGGUAAUUUAGAUUUUUUUAAAAAUUCUCACCACUUAUAGUUGUUUUGCUGCGGAGAGGGUCCGUGAGACUUGUCUGCACCACUCUGGAAGUUGCCUAACUAUCUCAUCUUCAUCUUGGGCCCCUCUUCCCCUCUUCCUCUCUGCUCCUGGGUGAGGAACAUAUACACAGGGCUUUUGCUGCCACUGUAUCUUUGCAUGUACUGUUCCCUUAGCCUGGAAAGUUCUCUCCUGAAGUGUGGUUUCCAUCUUGAUCCCUGCAAGGUGACUCCCUUCCCCUCAUGACUUCCUUCCUCACAGGAAAUCCUCAUUAGUCUAGAGCAGGAGUCAGAAAACCACAGCUGUGGGCCACAUUGUUUUUGCACAGCCCACAGCCCACAAGCUGAGAAUUGUUUUUACACUUUUAAAUAAUUGAAAACAAUAUAAGAAUGAUACUUGAUUACAUAUGAAAAGUACAAAUUUGAGUGACUAUAAGUCAAGUUUUUUUGGAACACAGUUAAGUCCAUUUCUUUACUUUCUGUGUGGAGCUGCUUUCAGACAACAACAGCAAAAUUGAGUAGUGGCACACCACAAAUCGCAGUGACAGAAUUACGACUUGAAAGCCGUUUAAGGCCACAUGUAUCAGCUAUCCAGGUAAAGACAUCUUCAAAGAUGAAAUAUGUAAACUCUCCCAUCAGCACUCACAGAUGAAUAUUUGCAGUUUUAUUUUGGCAAUAGGGAACACUACCCUUGGCCCACAAAUAAUCAAAAUGGUAUCCCCCCUCCCGAAAAAGUCCAUUCUUCUCAUUAGACCUAUAUUUUAAAAAUAGAUUUAAUUAUUAUUAUUCCAUUUUGCAUUUUUUUAUUUUUAUUUUUAUUUGUUUUCAUUUAUAAUGAUUUUUAUUUUUUCCAUUAUUUUAAUUUAUUCAAUCGAUAAUAAUUUUGUGGAAAUUUCUUUUAUCUUGUUAUAUAAGUACCUACAUAAUAUCCCCAGUUUUACCUCUUGAACCACAAGAGCCUAAAAUAUUUCCUAACUCUUUACUGAGAAAGUUCACCAAGCAUGGUGAUGCUGUUCCCUUUCUGGUGGAUGAUUUUAAGGGUGAGCAUCUGGUCCAGUUCUGACCAAUGAGAUGCAAGAAGAAGUCCGCUGGGGCCAUUUCUGGAAAUGCUCACUUCUUCCUCUGGAUGUUGUUUCAGAUGUGGUGCUGGGAACUGAGGCAGCCAUGAGAGGAGAUAGUCUGAAGAGCAAGUCAAGACUUGCAGAUGGAAGAACCUGGGUCCUUGUGUUAUAGCUGAGCCCUGAGUUAGCCAGGCCUACAUCUUUCCUACCCCAGGACUUCUUGUUAUAUGAAACAAGACAUGUUCUUAUUGUUUUAGUGAUUCAAAUCAAAGUUUUUUGCUUCUUGUUGUCCAAUGCAUUCUAAUUGCUGUAACUUCAGAGCAUGUCAUGGCUCCUUCUCAUUACAGAGGGGUCAGAACACCUAUCCCUUCCUCAGAAGGUCGUUCCCCAGGCACCUUGAGGAAGUAGCCUGCGAUGUCUCCCUCCCUCCCCUCACUCACUCUUCCAAGCCUAUAUCACUGCCUGUAAUUAUCAUACUAGGCAGUCUCCCCUCACUCAAAGCUAAGUUUCCUGAGAUUUGCCCGAGGGCUUAGAAUAGAGUUUGAAACCAAGUUGGUAUAAAAUAAAUAUUUGCUGGAAUGAUUUUUUUAAAAAUACUAAUAAUGUUUUAACUGAUAUUUAAUAGCAUUACUAUUACUACUAUUAAUGAAAAGUGCUAAGUAUUAAUGCUGAUUACUAGUAAUAUGUACACUGUUUGUUAUUCAAGCAAACAUUUCCACAAGUGUUUAGGCACAUGCCAUACUCUGAGCCAAAGCUUAUCACAGGGGCCUGAGUUGAUUUUUGUAACAUUGUUACAUCAUAGAAGACUGCCUACUUCCAUUUUUCUUCAGUACCAUCUAUAUCUAGUACAAGCAAGAACAAUAACGUAAUAACUAUUAUAUAUUUAAAAACAACAAACUCCAACUGGACCCAUUUUUCUGCCCCUGGGACCUUUCCAGUGGGAAACUGCACUGAACCAUGGUGGGUUUGGCCCAGUCCUCAUCCAAACCUCCCUGCAGAAGGAAAUUCCAGCAGAGGAGGGAAGCACACUCACCAGGGAGACAUUUCUAACACAAUUUACCGGGGAAAAUAAUGCUGAUUAUUGUAUCUGACAUGAUGCCUGCCCUCCUCUCCUCAAGGAGGCUCUGUGGUGACACAUGGUAAUUGCCCAGUUCCUCUUGGGGUCCUAGAGUUAUGCAGACAGAUGGGAGCAAAGCCGUUAUGUGCUGAUAGCUUCUCUAAGAGCUGGCCAAUUACUUUCUCCUCCAUGUCAGCUUCCAGGAUGUUAGUUGACUUGUCUUCUGUUGUGUUUUUUUUCUUUUAAAAACUCCCCCAAAAGUUACAUCUUGGUUUUUGGAGGAUCUCUGCUUUAAACCUAAUAAUUUUCUUUAUUAACUCCCCAUGACAAAUUCCUGAGGAUUGUCCCAGAAACGGCACAUACAGCAUAAUUAAUGUAUACCUCCCAGGUCAAUAGUCUCUGUGAUUCUAAUAACUAUUUUAUAGCAACAACAUCCAUUUCUAUGUCCUUUUAUUAAUAGUAAAUCUGAAGGGUGUAUUUGGGGUGAUCUAGCUUAAAAUAUAUGCUCUGUGGGCUCUGUGGUAUUCUUACUUUAGGGAUUCCUGGAAUGCUUCAAAGAGAUGGGGGGAUUUUGGACUGCUGUUCAAUAGACCUUUCUGGAUGAUGGACAUGUUCUAUAUUUGCACACAACAAUAUGGUAGCCACCAGCCACAAGUAGCUGUGAGCCAUUGAAAAAUGACUAGUAUGACAGAGGAAGUGUAUUUUAAAUUUAAUUUUUUCAUAGCCACAAGUGGCUAGGGGGUUACUGUAGGAGACAGCUCAGGUCUAGAGCAUCAGAGGAGGUGGUUUUCCCACAGAGCUGUUUCACAUUCCCAGCUGCCUUCUGGGGUGUGAAGCAGCAGCAAAGUGCCAUUUCCUCAGCAAUCUCUGGAAACCAGCCAGAUGUGAUUAAUGGGGAUGGCAAGAACAACACAAUGUACAGGGAGCUCUCACACAACCUCACUUUAAUCUUCACAGACAUCCUGUGAGUUGGGUCCUAUCCCAAUUGAGAGAAGAGGAGACUGAGGGGUAUAACCACUUGACCAAAGUCACAGAGAUGCGGGGGCUCAAAGUCCUGUGCUGUAGUGUGCUCUGCUCACUGCGUGGUUGUUUUCCAAAUUUUCCAAAAGCCAUUAGAGAUAACAGCAAGUAAUCUAACUUGUUAUUUGAACAGGAUGUGCUAUAUUCACUGCUUGUGGUAAGCAAUUUUGAUCUUUCAUAUGGGCUCUGCACAUCCCCCUCUAGUAAACCGUAGACAUAAAUAUAGGAUUUGAACGAAUUCUUAAAUGUGUUGGGGGGACAAUCUGUGGUUGGUAAAACCACAGUUCUGGGUGAGACGCAGGACCACACUGGGAGAAGGAUCCCAAGCAAAGGAAGUAGUUGGCUUGUUCUAAUAAAGCAAUGGGGUAAUACUGAGUCCUGUAAACACUGGCAGGGUUUUGUUCUUUGAAUGAUAAUAAGCAAAUGUUUUGGUCAUUCUUGAUUCUGAAAUAGGAAAUUCACAACCAUGGACGCUGGUGCAUACAUUCAGGGAAAAUGAGU